rnacentral:rRNA from 1 species
GAUGAACGCUAGCGGCGGGCCUAAUACAUGCAAGUCGAACGGUGCAGCAAUGCAUAGUGGCAGACGGGUGCGUAACGCGUAUGCAACCUACCUUUUAUCGGGGGACAACAUUUCGAAAGAAGUGCUAAUACCGCGUAAGAUAGUAGUGGGACAUCCCACAGCUAUUAAACUUUCGGGGAGUAGAAAGAUGGGCAUGCGUCUGAUUAGCUAGUUGGCGGGUAACGGCCCACCAAGGCGACGAUCAGUAGGGGAACUGAGAGGUUGAUCCCCACACUGGCACUGAGAUACGGGCCAGACUCCUACGGGAGGCAGCAGUAGGGAAUAUUGGGCAAUGGACGGAAGUCUGACCCAGCCACGCCGCGUGCAGGAGGAAGGCGCUCUGCGUUGUAAACUGCUUUAGCAGGGGAAGAAAAGAACUCAUGCGUGAGGAAUUGACGGUACCCUGAGAAUAAAGCACCGGCUAACUAACGUGCCAGCAGCCGCGGGUAAAU